rnacentral:rRNA from 2 species
UCGUAGUUUGAUCCUGGCUCAGAAUGAACGCUGGCGGCAUGCCUAACACAUGCAAGUCGAACGAAGGCUUCGGCCUUAGUGGCGCACGGGUGCGUAACGCGUGGGAAUCUGCCCUCAGGUUCGGAAUAACAGCGAGAAAUUGCUGCUAAUACCGGAUGAUAUCGCGAGAUCAAAGAUUUAUCGCCUGAGGAUGAGCCCGCGUAGGAUUAGCUAGUUGGUGUGGUAAAGGCGCACCAAGGCGACGAUCCUUAGCUGGUCUGAGAGGAUGAUCAGCCACACUGGGACUGAGACACGGCCCAGACUCCUACGGGAGGCAGCAGUGGGGAAUAUUGGACAAUGGGCGAAAGCCUGAUCCAGCAAUGCCGCGUGAGUGAUGAAGGCCUUAGGGUUGUAAAGCUCUUUUACCCGGGAUGAUAAUGACAGUACCGGGAGAAUAAGCUCCGAGCUACUCC